CGCUGGCGGCGUGGAUAAGACAUGCAAGUCGAACGGGAGAAUUGCUAGCUUGCUAAUAAUUCUCUAGUGGCGCACGGGUGAGUAACACGUGAGUAACCUGCCUCUUAGUGGGGGAUAGCCCUGGGAAACCGGGAUUAAUACCGCAUACGAUUGAAAGAUCAAAGCAGCAAUGCGCUAGGAGAUGGGCUCGCGGCCUAUUAGUUAGUUGGUGAGGUAACGGCUCACCAAGGCGAUGACGGGUAGCCGGUCUGAGAGGAUGUCCGACCACACUGGAACUGAGACACGGUCCAGACACCUACGGGUGGCAGCAGUCGAGAAUCAUUCACAAUGGGGGCAACCCUGAUGGUGCGACGCCGCGUGGGGGAAUGAAGGUCUUCGGAUUGUAAACCCCUGUCAUGUGGGAGCAAAUUAAAAAGAUAGUACCACAAGAGGAAGAGACGGCUAACUCUGUGCCAGCAGCCGCGGUAAUACAGAGGUCUCAAGCGUUGUUCGGAAUCACUGGGCGUAAAGCGUGCGUAGGCUGUUUCGUAAGUCGUGUGUGAAAGGCAGGGGCUCAACCCCUGGAUUGCACAUGAUACUGCGAGACUAGAGUAAUGGAGGGGGAACCGGAAUUCUCGGUGUAGCAGUGAAAUGCGUAGAUAUCGAGAGGAACACUCGUGGCGAAGGCGGGUUCCUGGACAUUAACUGACGCUGAGGCACGAAGGCCAGGGGAGCGAAAGGGAUUAGAUACCCCUGUAGUCCUGGCAGUAAACGGUGCACGCUUGGUGUGCGGGGAAUCGACCCCCUGCGUGCCGGAGCUAACGCGUUAAGCGUGCCGCCUGGGGAGUACGGUCGCAAGAUUAAAACUCAAAGAAAUUGACGGGGACCCGCACAAGCGGUGGAGUAUGUGGCUUAAUUCGAUGCAACGCGAAGAACCUUACCUGGGCUUGACAUGUAAUGAACAACAUGUGAAAGCAUGCGACUCUUCGGAGGCGUUACACAGGUGCUGCAUGGCCGUCGUCAGCUCGUGUCGUGAGAUGUUUGGUUAAGUCCAGCAACGAGCGCAACCCCUGUUGCCAGUUACCAGCACGUCAAGGUGGGGACUCUGGCGAGACUGCCCAGAUCAACUGGGAGGAAGGUGGGGACGACGUCAGGUCAGUAUGGCCCUUAUGCCCAGGGCUGCACACGUACUACAAUGCCCAGUACAGAGGGGGCCGAAGCCGCGAGGCGGAGGAAAUCCUGAAAACUGGGCCCAGUUCGGACUGUAGGCUGCAACCCGCCUACACGAAGCCGGAAUCGCUAGUAAUGGCGCAUCAGCUACGGCGCCGUGAAUACGUUCCCGGGUCUUGUACACACCGCCCGUCACAUCAUGGAAGCCGGUCGCACCCGAAGUAUCUGAAGCCAACCGCAAGGAGGCAGGGUCCUAAGGUGAGACUGGUAAAUG
rnacentral:rRNA from 1 species